UACAGAGGUCUCAAGCGUUGUUCGGAUUCAUUGGGCGUAAAGGGUGCGUAGGUGGCAUGGUAAGUUGAAGGUGAAAUCUCGGAGCUCAACUCCGAAACUGCCUUCAAUACUGCUGUGCUUGAGAGCUGUAGAGGAGAAUGGAAUUCACGGUGUAGCAGUGAAAUGCGUAGAUAUCGUGAGGAAGACCAGUGGCGAAGGCGGGUCUCUGGACAGUUCCUGACACUGAGGCACGAAGGCCAGGGGAGCAAACGGG
rnacentral:rRNA from 1 species